CCUCGGCCGGCACCACCGAGGCGCGCGGGGGAGGGGGCCCCGGAGCGGCUUCCCUCAGCUCGGCUCCGCCCACCUCCCCAGCCCUGGCCCCGGGCCCUCCCUGCCCCGCUCUGUCUCCGGGGAAGGACACGGGGACACACAAGCGCGAGCAGUCCACAGCCCCGCCCUGACACAGCCCGCUCUCCAGGCGCAAGGGCUCUCCCCACCCCUCAACCUGGCUUUGGAAAAGUCCAGAGCUUCGGCCGGGGCGGGGCCUGACGGGGAGGAGGGACUGAGGGCGAGAGGAGAGACCCGCUGACACCAGUAUGGAGCGGGAGGCGGGGCGGGGCUGAGAGGGUGAGGAGACCGGAGAAGAGAGGAGCGUGAGACAGAUGCACCCAUUGGCAAGUUUAAGCCAAGAGCUCGGACCUCGCAAGUGUUCAGUAAUUGAAGACAUCAGAGCCAGAAACAGAGUGAACAGGCCUUGGUUCCAACCCCAGCUCUGCCUCUUACUGGACAAGCUCCUCAAACUCUCUAAGCCCCAAUUUUGUCCUCUGUAAAAUGUGCGUAAAUUACGUUUACCUUGAGAAUUGUUGGGAAGACUAGGAAUAACGUGUGUGGUGUCCCCUGACACAUAGAUGGUCUUCAAGCAAUAGUAAGCUCUUCUAAUCAUUGUUAUUCAUAAUAAAGAGGAUGAAAAACAAAA